AUCUGUGGUUAUACCACUCUGAAUGCACCUGAUCUCAUCUGAUUUUGGAAGCUAAGCAUGGUCAGGUCUGUUUAGUGCUUGGAUAGGAGACUGUAGUUA
rnacentral:rRNA from 1 species